UACAGAGGGGGCAAGCGUUGUUCGGAAUUACUGGGCGUAAAGGGCGCGUAGGCGGCCUGUUAAGUCGAACGUGAAAUCCCUAGGCUCAACCUAGGAACUGCGUCCGAUACUGGCAGGCUCGAAUCCGGGAGAGGGAUGCGGAAUUCCAGGUGUAGCGGUGAAAUGCGUAGAUAUCUGGAGGAACACCGGUGGCGAAGGCGGCAUCCUGGACCGGCAUUGACGCUGAGGCGCGAAAGCCAGGGGAGCAAACGGG
rnacentral:rRNA from 1 species